rnacentral:pre_miRNA from 1 species
AUAUUACUCCCUCCGUCCGGAAAUACUUAUCGGAGGAAUGGAUGUAUGUAGAUGCAUUUUAGUUCUAGAUACAUCCAUUUUUACUCAUUUUUGCGACAAGUAAUUCCGGCGGAGGGAGUAUAUG